UACGGAGGGUGCAAGCGUUAUCCGGAAUCAUUGGGUUUAAAGGGUCCGCAGGCGGUCUUAUAAGUCAGUGGUGAAAGCCUACAGCUCAACUGUAGAACUGCCAUUGAUACUGUAGGACUUGAAUUCGGUCGAAGUGGGCGGAAUAUGACAUGUAGCGGUGAAAUGCUUAGAUAUGUCAUAGAACACCGAUAGCGAAGGCAGCUCACUAGGCCUGGAUUGACGCUCAGGGACGAAAGCGUGGGGAUCAAACAGG
rnacentral:rRNA from 1 species